rnacentral:rRNA from 1 species
GGGGGGGGCAAGCGUUGUUCGGAAUUACUGGGCGUAAAGAGCUCGUAGGCGGCCAACUAAGUCGGACGUGAAAUCCCUCGGCUCAACCGAGGAACUGCGUCCGAUACUGGAUGGCUUGAGUCCGGGAGAGGGAUGUGGAAUUCCAGGUGUAGCGGUGAAAUGCGUAGAUAUCUGGAGGAACACCGGUGGCGAAGGCGGCAUCCUGGACCGGCACUGACGCUGAGGAGCGAAAGCCAGGGGAGCAAACGGGGAUUAGAUACCCCGGUAGUCCUGGCCCUAAACGAUGAAUGCUUGGUGUGGCGGGUAUCGAUCCCUGCCGUGCCGAAGCUAACGCGAUAAGCAUUCCGCCUGGGGAGUACGGUCGCAAGGCUG